CCUUUAUUAAACGCCGUCCUGUGGGCACGACUACCUGUUACGCGGCUUGAACGUACUUUUAAGUACUGAAGACCAAGAUGGGAGACAUCUACAACGGUCUCUUUAAGAGCCAUAGAGGUCAUAAACACUACAGUUGUUUAGCCAGAGGAAAUUUCUUACAAUAACCGUGAACCUUCAUGGGUUAUUUAGUGAGGUGUUUUGUUCUUUCACGUCCCUCAACGGCCCACUGUGAAACCAUUUAGAACGAUGGUAAGACAGAGAGUUGAGAAAGACCCGCUCAAGACUUUCUUUAGGUAGAAAAAUUUCACCUUACCCGUAAGACGGGGGCGUGUACCUACGGCAGCUCAAGCGCCGUUCCUCGAUACCGUUCGUCGUCGUUACCAAAAUUCGUCUCCGUCGCCCGUCGUCGUCGUCACCCGUCUUCGCUUACAUCUUGUUCUGGGGUGCCGACCCUCUAGAGGCCCACGUCUCACGUCUGAUACAACUGUUUCAUGAUUAGUUCUUAACGUUCUACGUCUUGUCCUUCCUACUACGCCACCUCUUCCGUCUGCCGCGGAACCUGCUCAGACACGCACGCGACCCGCGUCACCGCUGUUUCUCGUUUCGUCUUCCUCCGCAACACCGAGGGGCUAGAGAUCCGCACGCACUCACAUUCUACCUGUACUUCCUUCUUGACGAUAAACACUACGACCAGACGACUCCUACUAUGGAUGAACGUCACUACGAAUGUGUGACUUUAAUGAUCGAUGUUAAAUAGUACUCCGUUAAAAAACAACACACACGCGAUGACGACGAAUAUCCCUUAUCUCUUAUCUCUUUUCUCUAUUACAACGUCUAAUAUAUAGUUAC
rnacentral:rRNA from 1 species